UAGGGAAUCUUCCACAAUGGACGAAAGUCUGAUGGAGCAACGCCGCGUGAGUGAAGAAGGUUUUCGGAUCGUAAAUCUCUGUUGUUGGUGAAGAAGGAUAGAGGCAGUAACUGGUCUUUAUUUGACGGUAAUCAACCAGAAAGUCACGGCUAACUACGUGCCAC
rnacentral:rRNA from 1 species